ACUAUUAAAACAGAAGGCCUUUUGGUGAGGUGCCCUCCUGUUUUUAAAGUAAUUACAAUACAUUGCCACUGACUUUUUUUUAUGCUAUGAUUUUUAUUAAAUCUUUUUAUUAUUUUUACUGAAUUCCUGCCACUUGCCUUUUAUUUAAUAUUAAAUUUAUUUAUUUGAAUUGAUUAAACAAAUAAGGAAAUCGUAUAAUAUCUUAACGAGUCUAAUUUCAAAAAGUUGUUCUAACUGAAUCUUUGUAUAUCUCAUACUUCGACAUCGAACGAAGGAUAGGAGGCAAAGUUAAGACGGCGAUGACGACAAUUGUUGGAGGAGAGAAGGCGAAGUAAAUCAAGUAAUCAACACGGCGAUGACAAAAACAGGUGGAUAAGGUUGCGAGUGGUUGAGAGAUUCAGUUGUUGAGAUCUUGAAGAAUCUGAGAGAAUCGCCUUUGUUGGUACACUUAUAAGAGGCUAAGGUACGGGUUUUGACUAUGGAGGUCAUGAAUCUGGAGGCUGAAACUGUGGAGACAGAGCAUCUAAUGAAAGCUCUUUUGGUGCAUGAUCUGCAACUGAAAUCCACUAGAAGGAAAUAAUCAGUCAAUAACCAAGGUCAAAAACCACAUCGUGAGUUCUGUGUGUAGAUAUUUGAUUGCAUAUUUAGUGAUAAGAGAGUUAAUCAAUCAUGUUUGACAUAUCUAGAAAGCAAGUAAGAGUCACUAGAGAAGUACAGAAAUCUUUUUAACUUAGGAGAUGAUUGUUUGGAAUUCAGCAGAGAGGUUGAUUUUGAAAUCUUAAGCUCUCACUUCUUUUUGCUCUUGCUGUUUUCUUUGAUAUGGGCACAAACAACACAUCACACAAGCACAAAGCUAAAACUAAAGCAUUGUGUUAAAGAUUCAGCUCAAGCUGUUUUAAGUAGUUCACUAUUGUGGUCUUAGAAAACAAGUUUAAAUAUAUCUUUAUAUGUUUUCUGUUAUUUGACAUUCAGUUUCAUGAAGUAGUCUUGAGAAACUCUCUUUGACUCUUGCAAGGUGAUGCACAACUAAUAUGUUGUUUGGUGAACAGAAAAUAUGAUCUCAAGUUGGUUACUUGAAACAAUUAACACAAGACAAUUUGACAUGAAGAGAGUGCAAAUUGCUAAGUCGCUGCCUCAGAAUUACUUAAAACAGUGAUUGAUCUCGGUAAUAUGUCCUGUGAGAUUGAAGUAUGUAGAAGCUGUUUUCUCAUUAGCAGAAGAUUGCAGUUGCCUCCAAGCGUCAUUUUUGUGGAUGAGGUAUUGCAAGACGUUAAAAGCAACUCUCCCCAGCUUUCAGUUUCUUUGAAUACAUGCUUACCUGUAACUUUAGGUUAAUAUGUAUCACUUAUAAACUUCAAAAUUUAAUUAUAUUUGACUCUUUUUUUUGUCACAAAAUUUAAUUAUAUUCGACAUUCUA